AGUUGGUGCUCAAAUCGAAAAAUAAGCCCGUACGCGUAUAACGGGCACGCAACUAUAAAUUCGUCCAAAAUAAAUACACUCGUUCAUUCUUCUUUCAGCUGCAUUCUUUCUUCUUAUCCACUCCAGUGUUACGGGGAAAUGCUCCAGGAUCUCAGUGGCCUGGCCAAAAACUUGGGCGCUGAGUGCCUUUACUACUGCGUAUUUUGCAAUAGGUAUUAUAUCACUUGUCCUUCUUACAAUAUGUACUUGUGUCAGUUCCUGUGUACAAUUGGUGGGGUUUCUGUGUAAUAUAUAUAUAAAUAAUGAAAGGGUUGGGUCUCCAUGUAAUCUGUUCCAUAAUGGAGCUGAAAUAAGUUGUUUUUGAUUGGAACCUUUAGUCUGGUGAAUGAGCACAGUACAUAUAGUCAGAAAUUCUAACAUGUACAGUUCUCAUAGAAAAUGGAAAAAUCAAGCGAGGUUAAUUUAAGUUCUGCUUCAUCAAGCAAACUUUUGUGUUUACCUACCAUCACCAAAAUAUUUUGUGUAAACUAAUAACUACAAUGUUUACCUGAAACUUACAAAAAUAUGUUGGAAAAAAGACCCUUUUGUCACUGCUGUAUUAUGUAAUACUGUUACUUAACUGCUAUACGUUGUUAUUUAUUUUGCUGAUAAAUGGAUGAUAUGAAUGAAGUAAUACCUCAGGAAUCACUUACAUGUCCACAGCCCACUUAGGUGCUUGGUUCUCAGGGCGAAAUGUAUGAAGGUUCUAGAAUCUGGGGGAUGGAACUCAUGGUAGAAACAUUUCUUUUUCUUUGAAAGGGCACCUGAGGUGAUCGGAUUAAACAUUUUGCUGGCACUGCAGACCUUUUGAGCUGUACUUCUGCUGCAGAUCUCAUUGUUUUCUUGUUUUUGGUUGCCAGUUAAAAUUUACCUCUGAAUAACGUUACACAUGUCUCUCUGGCUGUUAAGCUGCACCGUUGCAUGUCUGAUGCUGAUUUGAUCUUUAUGUCCCUAAUUCCCAGAAAUGGGGAAGAAUUAUUAGCCACAAAAACGGGAGACUGACAACACACAUGCUGCAGUGAUGCUGGCUGUAUAUAUCCUUUCAAAGCAGCUGACAGUCCUUAGCCAUGCCCAAAUUGAAUUAAUUUGGCUAAUGCACUGAAAGACAUUACUUAAGCAUAUUAAGAAUAAUUCCUUCACAACCCGCAGCAGCUUGCCUAAUAACAUUCAACAAGCAGCUUGCAAAUGACAAAAACAGCAGUUAAUUUAAUGGCCUGGUCAAGGCAUUAGAAUUUCCCAGGAAUGUAAACAUUAAUAAGAGAACAUGCAUUUAUGUGAUUUAAAAUGAACUGGAAGAUAUAUUUAUAGUCUUUUAUCCCCCACAUAGAGUUGAUUUUGAAAAUAAUGUGCUCAAGCACAUCAGUAUGCCUAAACAAAAAUGACUGUUGCCCCAUAUUCCUGCUGCAUUAGACUACAGCAAAGACUCAAUGGAAAACUGACAAUGAAUCAUUUGACUGUCAAAUGGGUUGGGACCAGUUAGCUAAUACACUUUAUGUCUUGGCAAUCAAUGUGCAUUUGAUUUUCCUAAAUCUGUAAAGGGGAAAAAGACACAGAAGAUAUUCUAUCACCUUAAGUGCCAUUAAAUCACCCCGAUAUUAAAUGUGAAAUCACGUUGUUCAAAAUAGCUGUAUUCUUGGCUGUUUCUGGGAUGCUUUGCCACAUAUAAAGCAGGCUCUUCUGCUGAGCUUUCUGAGAUUACCAUUGUUGUAUAUAACCACAGAAUAACGUCUUUUCUCCAUUGCGAAACAACCUCUGAAAAGAGCGUGACACGUGAAAAGUGAAACUGCUCUUUUCAAACCGUUACAUCCAUCGCAACCAUUUUCAAUAUAGUCAUCUUUACAGUUGAGCACUUUCAAGUCUUACAUUACAGCCUGAUGAUCCAAAACCAGGACUAAAGUAGAUCCCACGCCUGUGUCAUCCAGACUAUUUUAUGAAACGUAGAUUAUUUAUGAGGUGAAAUCUAUCACCUGCUAUCUCCAUGGUCCCUUGUGUCUUAGUGAUGUUUCCUGGAGACCGACUAAAACUUCUUUUAAACUUUUUUUUUUUUUGAUGAGGAAAUAAAGAAUUGCUGUGUUUUUCUGAAGUAUAAACCUCAUGUCUAGAACAGGAAGUUGAGACUUUCUGCGGACAUGCUUAUAUGUCAGAUUUUCUUACAGAAUGCUCAGUAAACUUCCAUCUCUUUUCUGUACCUUAUGCAGGGUUAGGGGGCAAAGGGGGUCCAGAUUCUAUCCUAGAAGCUACAGGCACAAGGCAGGAAAUUCCCAGAAUGUGGCACCAGCCCAUCACAGGACACACUUACAUACCUUUCACACCUAUGGGCAAUUUGGCAACUCAAAAGAACCCUAUUAAUUGUUUUGUUUUCUUUGUUGUUAUUGUGAUGCAUUGUUGUACUGAAGCCUGUAUUGUGUAAUCCUGUAGUACUUAGUUAAUAAUUUAAUUAAUUAAUAAUUGAUUGCCUAAUUAAUUGAUUGAUGGAGUGAUUAAUUGAUAAAUUAAUUGGAAUUAUGAAUGAAUGAAUGGUUUUGUCUUUGGAUUGUGGGGGAAAACCAAGCCCCCAAAUGCAUCCGAAAUGCACAAAGCAGGGGGCAGGACUUGUUCCUCUGAAUGCGUCAGUCUGAAACUGAAAUAAUUUCACAUGUGACUGAGUGAACUUUAAAUCUCUUUAUUUAAUGUUGUUUUCCAAUUGCAUUUGUACAAGAAGCAACUGAAAACAAACUGUGCUGGAUCCUAGGUUUGUGUGUACAGUGUUAUUCUGAUCUCUGCAGAACCAGGCAUCAGCUACAAUACGCCAGCUGGCAUCUCAGUUGUCAUAAUAAUAAUAAUAAUAAUAAUAAUAAUAAUAAUAAUAAUAAAGUGUCCUCCCCCAACUGAGAGAAACGAUGUAAUCGUUACUAAUGCCUGCCUAUGUCUAUAAUACAAAACAAGCUAUGCUGUAUGUUGUAAUAUAAGGCUCUUUUGUUCUCAGGGUUACCUUCCAGACAGUAGUUUCAAGCUAAUGAGCACAUUGUGAAUAUAGUCAUUGUGUUCCUUGGCUAGAAUGUACAGAAAAGGAAUGUUAUCGUAUCAAUUUUUUUUUUGGCAAACGAAAGGUAAUGUUUCACUGCAAGAAGGAACAGUUUAUAAGUAAUUUAUCCCUCUCAUCUGACAUUGCAAUGCAGUUUGCAAUUUCACAACACAAUUAGUAAUUAGUAAAGUAAUGACAUAAAGAGCGCAGGUUUGGCACAGUGGGCAACAUCACAUGCUUUCACCUGCCGGGUUGUGUGGACCCCCUAAUUUGUGGUUAAGCCAACUGGCAUAUCUGAAUUGCUUGUUUGUGAAAAGACCUGCUCAAACUUUGGGCGUAUGCUUACAAUGCAAGUGACACAAAUGCUUGCAGCAUCAAGAUUUUGUGUCUGCAUAUACACUGACCACGCUGAUUCUUAAUACUGCAUGUUUGUAUCAUGGAAUAUUGCCUUUAAUUUACAAAUUAUUGUUUCAUUCGAAUAAAGGGUUUCAAAAGA